GGUGCAGGGGCUGCAUUAGACGUGGCCCAGGGAGCCCACACUCCGCCUGAGUGGAGCAGAAGGGACCCGCCUCGGACCCGCCAGGGAGCGUCAGUGGACGGAUACGCCAUCCCGAACAAUACAAUUAAGGGUGAGACUGACUUUCUUUAGGGACAACUAAAGUGCACGUUAAAAUAUAUAUCUUGUCUUAGUGACAUAAGACUCUACUGUGUGUAGAGGAUCAUUUACUGUGUGUGACUUUCACUAUGUGUGAGUUUUCACUGUGUGAAGAAGACCUUGUUUUAGUGACAAGGAGGGCUCUACUGUGUGUGGGGAAAACCCUGUUUUAUAACAGAGGUAUCCCAGGUAAAUGUGCAUUAUUGGCAAAGUACUAAAUUCAUAUUAAUUGAUAUGCCAUGGUUUGCAAUCGUCAGAUGUAAAUGCUGGGGCUAUGUGAUUCCAGGACAGGGUCCUGAGGUAGAAGUUAGAAGAUAAAGUUGCAGAUUAGAGCAUUACCAUAGAAGGGCACAAUUUGAUCAAUGAAGAGGAAGAGUAGUGGGCUAUGAUUGGAGUGUUGUGAUCUGUGUAGGGGGAACCCCUAUAUGGGAACCAAACCCUGUGUUACAUAGACAAGUAAAAACAUAUUUUUCAGAAUAAGAAAUGCCUUUAUAUUUUUAUAUUUGUUAUGUAUUUUUUUACAAUUAACCAAUUCUAAGAAAAGGAAGACGUUCAUAAUCAAAUAUUGUUGUUUAUUUUUGUUUUUGAGUGUGUGUGUGUGUGUGUGUGUGUGUGUAGACUGUUUUCCACAUUGGGAGCCAAGAGCAGCAAGGGAGAGCCUUGCUUGCCUGGAUAAGUGGGGCAGGAACAUUCUGGAACAGGAGCCUAACCCUUCGCUACCCAACAACGUGAGUCGAACCUAAAAGAACACAGUGGGGAGCACACCGCUCCUCACUGUUACACACAGGUUAAUACCUGAUCUCCAGUUGACAUUGACCACCCGAUCUGGUGACAACGAGGGAGGUGCAACCUGAUUGGACGAAUCGGCCGCUCCCCUUUCUGCCACACACGGCAUAGCAACCGAACAGACCAAUCAGAACAGUCCGUAACACCUGGGCCACGCCCACUAGCCCUAUAUAAGCAACACAUUUCUCCACACUCCUUAGCACUACGUCGAGAGACACAGAGACAACGGACCUCCGCAGCAACGACCAACCAAGACAACAGAAAAUGUGGACCUCCAUUCCCAAACCUGAAGCCCCCUGUCCCCAGCAGGAAAGACCAGGAAAACGUGUUGGCUUAAGAUCUGACAACCAGGCUCGGUAGGUGACAUUGUUUCCACCAAGCUGUUCCAGGCCUGGAGUGGCACACUGGAACUUCCAGAGGCUGUAGACUUGAAGCAGUGUGAUGUGGUCCAGAUCUGACACCCCUAUUAGCUCAACCACAGCCCUCACAGCUGCAGUCGUCUGCCCCUGCACCUGUUACAGCAGCAGCGACAGGUGAUACAGGAUCCAAGAGUUCAGGAUGCAAUGCUUCCCAAUAAAGAGGAUUGUUAUGUUUACCCUCACUCCAGAACAGUGAGAGUGCAAUGGAAAAAGCUAGAAAGCAAGUGGCAGACCUGAUUGCUGCAGAUCCUCGUGAAAUCGUGUUCACAAGUGGUGCCACUGAAUCCAAUAAUAUGUCACUCAAAGGUGUGGCCCGGUUUUACAAGGCCGAGAAGAAGCACGUUAACACCACUCAGACGGAGCAUAAGUGUGUGCUGGCCUCCUGUCGAGUCUUGGAGGCAAAGGGCUUUGACAUAAUCUAUCUUCCUGUGAAGACUAAGGGCCUGGUUUACCUACAGGCAAGCUUAAUUGUUUGGUUGUUUAAUCUAAACAUUUGUUCUAUGUGCAAUGUUUUAUAGAGCCCCAUUGUAUAAAUCCACUACUGCUUUCUUGUACUAAGAAUAAGCUCAAUUGUCCAGGUAACUUGAUUGUAAGUUCUCAUAGCCUAUUUCUUCAAUAUGUUUGCAUGUCCUAAAUACCCCACAUGCUGAUCUUAAAAUGUUGAAAUAGUUUAUAGCUACUGGAGGAAACAAUUCAUCCAGACACAAGUUUGGUGUCUGAUGACAGUGAACAAUGAGAUUGGUGUGAGGCAGCCUGUCGAAGACAUAGGUAUCCUUUUAACCUAAAUAUACUGAACAAAAAUAUAAAUGCAACAUGUCAAGUGUUGGCCCCAUGUUUCAUGAGCUGAAA